UUCCUUUUUCUUUAUUUUCCCUAUUUCCUUCUUCCUCCCCGUGCGUCCUUCCCCUUCUCCCCAGCCGCAACCGUCGGCCCUCUUCUCCUUCCUCCCGUGCGCCGCGACGACCCCACCGUCUCCUUCUCCCUUUCCUUCCGUUUCCUUCCCGCCGCAGCCUAGCUGCAGCCAGCCGCGGGUCCCUUCCUUCCAUUUUUUUUUUCCGUCCGCAGCCCCGCCGCAAACCAUCGUCUCCCCUACUGAAGCCGAACGACCGAUCUGCUGUCUCCAUCUCCGUUCCCGAAGCAAGACCGCGCCGCUGCCAGUCCAGAUCUGCGUUGCAGUCGUCCCGCGCGCCGAUCUGCCGUCUCCAUCUCCGUUCGCGAAGCAAAACCGCCGCCGCUCGCCGAACCCAACCGCCACCCUCUCUUUUCUCCUUCGGAUCGAAACCGCCGCGCCCAUCCAUCUGUAACUGCCGUGCAACCUUCAUUCCAACCGCUGCACUGCCGCGCGAUUCUCCGGCCACGUGUCUCCUUUAGCCGACCGCUGACCGACCCACACUUAGGAUUUUGCUGCGAGUUUGACAGUCAUGCGUUGAGGUGUUGGGAGUAACCUUGGGCUCCCUUAAAUUCACAACCAAUUUGUGAAUUGUUGAGGGUUCAGUUCGCCAGUAUUUCGGAUUUGAUUCAUUGGAUUUAGUAGAUUGAAGAAUUUGCAUAGAAAUCGAGGUAAGGGA